AUGCCUUAAACUUAUGACUAAGGGAGUAAUUCAGGGUGAUACCUGAUUCCUCACUGCUAAUGUGAGAUGUAUUUUUGAGCAGAUAAAGGUUGCCCCUAAGGUUACGCAUCUACUUUGUGGGAUCCUUGGGAGUCAAGACCUGCCCG
ensembl:snRNA U12 U12 minor spliceosomal RNA